UAUCUAAUGGGAACACAGCUGUUUGAUAAG
rnacentral:piRNA from 1 species